GCGGUAAUACGUAGGACGCAAGCGUUAUCCGGAAUCACUGGGCGUAAAGCGAUCGAAGGCUGAUUAGUAAGUUGGAUGUUAAAUACCUACGGCUCAACCGAGGUGCUGCAUUCAAAACUGCUAGACUAGAGGUAUGCAGAGGUAGCUGGAAUUCUCGUUGUAGGGGUUAAAUCCGUAGAUAACGAGAGGAACACCAAAAGCGAAGGCAGGCUACUGGGCAUUACCUGACGCUGCGCGAUCGAAAGCGUGGGGAGCGAAACGGAUUAGAUACCCGUGUAGUCCACGCCCUAAACGAUGGAUGCUCGGCGUUCGGAAUUUCAAUCGUUCUGAGUGUCUAAGCUAACGCGUUAAGCAUCCCGCCUGAGGAGUACGGUCGCAAGAUUAAAACUCAAAGGAAUAGACGGGGAUCCACACAAGCGGUGGAGCAUGUGGUUUAAUUCGACAAUAAGCGGGGAACCUUACCAGGACUUGACAUCUUCGGAACUUUGCAGAAAUGCGAAGGUGCCUUCGGGAACCGAAUGACAGGUGUUGCAUGGUUGUCGUCAGCUCGUGCCUUGAGGUGUUCGGUUAAGUCCGUUAACGAGCGCAACCCUCGUCGUAUGUUGUAUUUUUCAUACGAGACUGCCAGUUUUACGCUGGAGGAAGGUGAGGAUGACGUCAAAUCAGCAUGGCCCUUAUGUCCUGGGCGACACACGUGCUACAAUGGCUGGCACAAAGGGUAGCGAAGUCGUAAGGCGGAGCCAAUCCCAAAAAACCAGUCUAAGUUCGGAUUGAGGGCUGCAACCCGCCCUCAUGAAGUUGGAAUCGCUAGUAACCGUAGAUCAGCCAUGCUACGGUGAAUAUGUUCCUGGAUCUUGCA
rnacentral:rRNA from 1 species